rnacentral:rRNA from 1 species
AUUGAACGCUGGCGGCAUGCCUUACACAUGCAAGUCGAACGGUAACGCGGGGCAACCUGGCGACGAGUGGCGAACGGGUGAGUAAUGCAUCGGAACGUGCCCAGUAGUGGGGGAUAGCCCGGCGAAAGCCGGAUUAAUACCGCAUACGACCUACGGGCGAAAGCGGGGGACCGUAAGGCCUCGCGCUAUUGGAGCGGCCGAUGUCAGAUUAGGGAGUUGGUGGGGUAAAGGCCUACCAAGCCGACGAUCUGUAGCUGGUCUGAGAGGACGACCAGCCACACUGGGACUGAGACACGGCCCAGACUCCUACGGGAGGCAGCAGUGGGGAAUUUUGGACAAUGGGCGCAAGCCUGAUCCAGCCAUGCCGCGUGCGGGAAGAAGGCCUUUGGGUUGUAAAGCUCUUUCGGCAGGAACGAAACGGUCCUUUCUAAUAAAGAGGGCUAAUGACGGUACCUGAAGAAGAAGCACCGGCUAACUACGUGCCAGCAGCCGCAGUAAUAC